GUCCAUGAAGUGAAUAAACAUUGUGGAUACUUGAUACCUCGUAAAAAAAUAGUUUAAUUGUCCAUUUAUCGUAGAGUGUAGACAAUUUUUUCUUUCUUUUCUUAGAGCAUGGCAUUGAUAAAUACGCGUUUGAGGCUCUCACGCCUGAUAGUAUUUUCUUUGAAGAACUCUUGGCAAACGAAGUGCUUAAAAUACAAAUAAAAUUUGAACGAAAGCUGCGAGAUUACAUCGUGUUAAGGGACAAAACUAUUUCCAAUUCAAGAUUGAAUCAGGAUAAUAGUUCUUUUCAGAAAUUAUCAAAUAUAUCACCAACUGAAUUGUUUGAAGGUGGUUAUGAUAACGAUUCCGUGUUGGAGUUGACACUUUUUCCAUGCCGCCCGAGACCCUCAGCGAAUUUUCUAGCCUCCUGGACACCUUCUUUAAAUAAAGGAUUUGCUGCACUGUCCUUUUCAAACUGCAGUGCCUCGUCUAUUUGAAUAGCGCCAAAUGUAGCAUAGUGGGCGGAUAAACGAUCUGCGAGCAGUGCUUCUUGGGGAUGAUAGGUCAUAUGUUUCGCCAAUAGUGUCGCUUGACCCACAGCUGUAAGCAAGAAAUUAUUUUUCGAAAAAUCAGAGUACGAAUUGGCAAUUGAGUACAUGAUAAUUAAGUGAGAACAGUUUAUAUUUUGGAGAAUCACAAAAACACAAGAUGACGUGCAACGGGAUUGCAAUUUAAUGCAUUUUUGAGAACUAUCGGUGCCUUAAAAAACAUGUUCUUCUUUGCGCAAUCUCUUAGUGGACGCUUGAGAGGCACCCGGAAGAUUAUAAGCAACGCGGACUUGAAAAAUUUUCCAAAUAUUUCUAAAUCUGAAGAAGUAAACACAAAUGUCUGACAUCAUGUUUUCGGAAACGAUAGGGAAUUCUACAGGGCAGCAAUAUUGCAAGCUGCAGCAACUGUGACUGAACUGCAACAAAAAAUUGACAGUUUUCGGACCCGUAAUGUCAACUAAAAAUACCUGGGAUCUGCGGCACCAUCUUCCGUAACGGAAAAUAUAAAAAAGGAAAUUUCGUUGAACGUAGACACAGGGAUCGGAUUUCGUCGGUUCCACUCUAAUGGAUCGUAAAUCCCUAUUCAGACGUCUCUACCAGUCUACCAGACGCGUCCAGCUUGUUUUAGCCCAUAGAGUUUACCUCAUCAGGCAUACCAUUGUCGUUCGUAUGGAAUUCAAAUGUGCGACUGGUGCAUAUGUCUCAUGAAAACAGCCCUACAAGAUCAUCAUAACAAAAUUUUUGGAUUUUCUUCAAAA